rnacentral:lncRNA from 1 species
CUAAUACAGAUUUUGAUGUCAGCAAUGGGGUGCUUAUAUAACUAAUACCUAAAAAUAUGGGAGUAUCCUUAGAACUGAGCAUUGGGCAGAGGCUAAAAAAAUUUUGAGCAGCGUAAUAGAGAAAGCCUAAAUGGCAUUGAACAGACUGUUAGUAAAACAUCUGGACCUGGACUGUUAGUAAAAAUGCUGCCAGUGAGGGCUAAGAAAGUAAAAGUAAGAUACUGAAAACUGAAGAAAAGUGGAUCAUAUUUGUGUAAUGGCAGACAGCUAAACAAAAUUGUCUCCUGAAGUGAUAUGAAAAGCAGAAAUUUUACAUGAUGAACUUGGAUAUUUAGGUAAGGAUAAUUUUUAAAAAAAGUGGCGAAGUUGCCACUUUGUUUCUUCUUGCUAAUUAUAGUAAAAGGUUAAAAAGAGAGAGAUAAGUUGAGGGAAGAACUGAUGAACGAAAAGGAGCCAGGACGUAAUACUGAACAUUCUCAGUCUUACCAGACGGCAAAAAAUGCUGAAAUUAAGAGAGCAUGGUUAUGAGAAAAAUCUGAAGAAAGAACUUUUGCUAAAAAUUUAGAGUAUUCAGUCAUACUGGCUGGUCUUUUAAGAGAUUAAAGGACUGUCUCAGAGAUCCUCUCACUCAUCAUAGUGCCUCAGCCAUCUCAACAGGAACCCAAAUUAAAUAACAGAUUAACUUGAAAAGAUCCUCUGUGUGUUGUUUUGUCUAACGGGAUGAACACAAUUGAGGUCCACAAAGUUCUUGAGAAAAUUAUUUCAGCACAAACUGCCAAAUUGGACUGAAAGAGACAAAGUAAAAAAUGAAAAGAAUCUUGUCAUAUUCUCAAAAUUCUAUUUGCAGGAAACAGGCUGAUAAAACUAUUCAGCUGGAAAACACAUGCUAACAUUCAUGAAAAAGAAGAAUGUCUCAGAGAAUGGAAAGAAGAGCCCAGAGGGCAGAGCUUAGAACCACAGAGAAUCAUUCCCAGGCCUUCAAGCCUAAUCAACAAAUUUCUGACAUUUACCCAUUGGGAUUUCAGAACUGCUACUGACUGAAACAAGCUUUUUUUAAUCCUACAACUGCAAGGAGAUAAAUUCUGCCAACAACCUGUGAAAGCUAAGAAUCAGUUGCUUUCCAGUCAAUCAGAUGCUUCCCAGUCAAUCAGAUGCUUCCCGGAUGAGAAUCAAGUCCCAGCAGACAGCUUGAGUGCAGCCUUGAAGAAGACCCAGCCACAUUGAGCCUAGACUAGCUAUCCACAGAAACUGUGAUAAAUGUGUAGCUUUAAUCCACUAAGUUUGCGGAUUUUGUAUGCAGCACAAAAAAAAUAAUACAUGACUUAUUAUGUAUUUUGUUUGCUUUUGGUUUUUUAUUCUAAUUUCAGAUUCAAAGGGUACAUGUGCAGGUUUGUUACAUGGGUAUAUUACAUAAUGAUGAGGUUUG